rnacentral:rRNA from 1 species
GAUGAACGCUGGCGGCGUGCCUAAUACAUGCAAGUCGAGCGAACGGACGAGAAGCUUGCGUCUCUGAUGUUAGCGGCGGACGGGUGAGUAACACGUGGAUAACCUACCUAUAAGACUGGGAUAACUUCGGGAAACCGGAGCUUAUACCGGAUAAUAUUUUGAACCGCAUGGUUCAAUAGAGAAAUACGGUGUUGGUGUCACUAAUAGAUGGAUCCGCGCUGUAUUAGCUAGUUGGUAAGGUACCGGCUUAUCACGGCAACGAUGCAUAGCCGAGCUGAGAGGGGGUACGGGCACUCAGAAGCUGAGCGGCGACCCUGGGUCUGAGGUGAGGCAGCAGCUGGUAAGCUACGGAGAUGGGCGGAAGACUGACCAAUGAGCGCAGGGUGAAUGAAGAAAGGCUGCGUGUCGUAAAACGCUGUUAUUAGGGAAGAACAUAUGUGUAAGUAACGGUGCGCAUCUGACCGGAACCGAAACAGAAAGCCACGGCAAACUACGU